CCCGCGGGCCCGGGCGCCGCAGCGGGGACAGGAGGGACUCGUCCUUUCCCGUGCACCCGCCACGAUGCCGGGCGGCGGCUUGCGGCCGCUGCGGGAGGCGGGGGCGGUGUGCCGAGCGGAGGGGAGGCAGGGGCGCAGUGAGGGCAGGUGAGGGCAGAAGGCUCGGUUGCCAUGGCCGAUACGGCGGGUCCCCGGCUGGCAGCCCCGGGCCCUCUCCCCGCCUCAGAGCUCCCCCUCCUCCACCACGUGCAGCAUCUUCCCGGCGGGGAGCAGCAAUCCCCGUGGGGACUGCCUGUCCCUUCCGCUGCACGGAGUAUUUCUAGCCCUCAUCCUUGCCCGCCGCGCUGGCUUCCCCUAGGCGUUUUCCUUCCCACCUGCACGCUCCUUAUCAUCCCUCCGCAGCCGCUCCUGGGAAGAUGCCGAUACCUUUUAUCUAGGCACGCGAUCCACUCGCCGGAGGACGAGGAAUGGGAGGCGUGAGCGGCGACCAUGUUGGACCGGGAUCAGGUUGCCGCGCACCCGGCUGGCGGCGGCUCCCCCCGCCCGGGCGCCGGUCGGUCGGUCCGUCCGUCCGUCCUCGCUGCCUCCCCGCGCGCGCGGCGCGAUGGGCUCGCCCAGGCCCCGCCGCAGCGGCCGCGCGGGUCCGCCCGCCGCCCUCACGGGUCCGCCCGCCGCCCUCACGGGUCCUGCGGCCGCCGGGACAGCCGGCCCUGCUCCCGCGCAGCCGGCAGGGAGCGGCCCGGGGAGGGGGAGGAAAGAAGUCACUCCCCUUCUAAAAGGUGGUGUCCCCCUCCAGCUUUCGUGAGCUCCUCAGUGCCCACACCUGAAGCCGGCUCCUGAUCCCUCCCCUUGCUUCACCUUGGCUUGGUUUCAAUUGGAGGGGCAAUACAAGUGUUUUAAUUGAAAUAAGCAGCUCAGGAGUAUUUUAUCGGCGCUCCAGAGCGUGUCCCGUCCCUCCGCCCCCAGCAAUAAAGGCACAGUGGGUGAGUGAAAGGAAGGUGCUGUCCACAUUUCAGGAUUUUUCCUGGACCCUUCCUCCAGCCCGCUGUCACCUCCCAUGAAACUGUGUGCUAAAGUCUCUCAUUUCAUGUGCGUGGAAAACGAGCUGGGCAGUACAGCCUGUGAGGAGGAUUUGACACUUGGAAGGAACACAACACGUAGCAUGAGAAAGCUGAAACUGGCUUCUUACUUAGAAGGACCCUAUCACAGGCAAUGGCAGUGUUACCAUCUCAGUAAUACAGACUUGGAUAUCUGUGCCUAACACCGUAAACCAUCACUUGAAUCAGGCUGCUGGGGCACCUAUGUUCCUGUAAGCAUGGCUGAACCGUUACAUCUCUGGGACUUUGUGACCUUGCAAAGUGGGGUGUCAAGAUGAAAAGCAAAAGGUUCCAGGAGCCUAGUGCCAACACCAUGCUUUCUAUAGGAAGUUCCUAGAUCUUUUGAUUGCAAAGUGAAUGAAGGAAGAGUAUUGGAGAAAUCCUGAGCAUGUGGAAAAGCCUGAUAAUGACCAACAGUAGGCGUAUCGCUGCUGCUAGGGCUCAGAGCAGGACAGAGGAGAGAUGUUCUGCUUGCAUGAGGAAGAUGUCAUUAAAUUCAAACCAAGAUACCAUAAGGUUAAGAGGAUGGAUUUACAGCAGUGGUAGAUGAGGAAAGAAAGACAGUACCUGUCAUGUACCUGUCAAAAAACACUUGACACUGUCCUGCACAACAUCCUUGACUCUAAACUGCAGAGGUGUGGGUUUGAUGGAUGGAGUACUCAAUGGAUAAGGAUAUGGCUGGAUGGUCACACUCAAAGAGUUGUUGUCAGUGCCUUGAUGUCCAAGUGGAGUCAAACAAGGUGUUUAUCACCUUGUUACACUCCAAGCUGGGAUAAAGAAACUCUCACUCAGCAUAGUUCUUCUUCUGCAACAUAUGCAUGUAAACAACUGCUUCUGGCAUGGAAGUUUAUUGGAGGGUAAGUCAAAAUAGAAGUUCACUAUCAACAUUUGUUCUGUUAACAUCAAACCAAACAAGUUUGCAAGUUUUGUCUUUGGUGAAUCUAUAUGCCCUGAAACCCUGGAGCCACAGGAGGGGUCACACUGCCUUCUUCACAAAACACCACUAAGUGGUGCCUUUCCUUCCCAUCAUCUGAUUGAGAUUGUGGCCUUAUAUGCAAGGCCUUAGACAAUGUCAAACAGAAUAUUAAAAUCUAAUAUUUUCUUUUGACAUGUGUCUUCAG